rnacentral:rRNA from 1 species
AGUACUGUCUAUGGUAACAUAGGUAGAGACUUCUUAGAGGGACAUUUCGGGCAUACCGGAAGGAAGUUUGUGGCAAUAACAGGUAUGUGAUGCCCUUAGAUGUUCUGGGCCGAACGCGCGCUACACUGAUGACUGCAACGAGUUUUUUUCUAUUUAGGAAAAGUCCUUUGCCGGAAGGUAUGGGUAAUCUUUUAAAUGGUCAUCGUGAUGGGGCUAGAUUCUUGCAAUCAUUAAUCUCCAACGAGGAACC